rnacentral:rRNA from 1 species
CCUACGGGAGGCUGCAGUGAGGAAUAUUGGUCAAUGGGCGCUAGCCUGAACUAGCCAAGUAGCGUGAAGGAUGACUGCCCUACGGGUUGUAAACUUCUUUUAUAAAGGAAUAAAGUGAGGCAUGUGUGCCUUUUUGUAUGUACUUUAUGAAUAAGGAUCGGCUAACUCCGUGCCAGCAGCCGCGGUAAUACGGAGGAUCCGAGCGUUAUCCGGAUUUAUUGGGUUUAAAGGGAGCGUAGAUGGGUUGUUAAGUCAGUUGUGAAAGUUUGCGGCUCAACCGUAAAAUUGCAAUUGAUACUGGCAGUCUUGAGUACAGUAGAGGUAGGCGGAAUUCGUGGUGUAGCGGUGAAAUGCUUAGAUAUCACGAAGAACUCCGAUUGCGAAGGCAGCUUGCUAGACUGCAACUGACGUUGAUGCUCGAAAGUGUGGGUAUCAAACAGGAUUAGAUACCCGAGUAGUC